CCUCUCUAUCUCUGACAAGACCUUGCUCUUCUCACCCUCGCUUUCCCCUACCUCUGCCCAGAUUUGCUGAGUGCCAGAAACAACAGGGCAUGCAUGAGUAAUGGUGCUUCAAUCUUAUGCAUGGUCAAAUAAAUGCAAGGCUAAGGCAAUAGAGGUGAAAAACAGAGUAUUGGUUGACAAAAAAAAUGAUUAAUUUGUCCCACCUCAACUGCCUGGCGCACUAAGCCGAAUAGAAUCAAGGAAAUGCUUUUUUUUGAGGUAGUGAAGAACCAGAAAGGUGACAAAAGAGAGAAGCUUCCGCCAUAAAGCCACACUGCCCUGAGGCAUGCAGUUCACCUGCCGCGCAGCUCACCACCAAGAAAAAAGAAGACAACUACUCCCUCCGUAAACUAAUAUAAGAGCAUUUAGAAUACUAAAGUAGUGAUCUAAACACUCUUAUAUUAGUUUAUGAGGGAGUACUACUUACUACUACUACACAUGGAAUACUCGCUCAUGCUGUUACGCAAUACUGGAAUAAAAAGUUGUGACUUUUCCGCAGCCCUGUGUAACCCCAAUAACACUCAACCCUCGUUCCAUGUCAAAAUAAAAUAAAAUAACACCCAAUUCUCUAGUCACAAAUCUCAGAGGACACUUAAAACACUCAAAACACAGUGCACUUCCAACAACGAUUUUUCACCUAGUACUGGAAGAGACGGCCGAACUUUUAUUCUGAAAUGAAGCAGACGAACUGAAUUACCACAAGCCCAUACAGCAAGAACAAAUUCACCAAGAA